rnacentral:tRNA from 1 species
GCGGUCGUGGUGGAAUUGGCAGACACACCAUCUUGAGGGGGUGGCGGGGAGACCCGUGCGAGUUCGAGUCUCGCCGACCGCA